GGAUGUAUAGCUCAGUGGUAGAGCAUUCGGCACUAAAUCGAGAGGUCUCCGGUUCGAAUCCGGGUGUCCC